AGCCUAAGUCUAAGCCUAAGCCUACGUCUAAGCCUAAGCUUAAGCCUAAACCUAGAUCGAAGCCUAAUCCUAAGCCAAAAUUAAGCCUAAGCCUAAGCCUA
ensembl:ncRNA C34C12.10 ncRNA